AAAUUGAAGAGUUUGAUCAUGGCUCAGAUUGAACGCUGGCGGCAGGCCUAACACAUGCAAGUCGAGCGGAAACGACAUUAACAAUCCUUCGGGUGCGUUAAUGGGCGUCGAGCGGCGGACGGGUGAGUAAUGCCUAGGAAAUUGCCUUGAUGUGGGGGAUAACCAUUGGAAACGAUGGCUAAUACCGCAUGAUGCCUACGGGCCAAAGAGGGGGACCUUCGGGCCUCUCGCGUCAAGAUAUGCCUAGGUGGGAUUAGCUAGUUGGUGAGGUAAUGGCUCACCAAGGCGACGAUCCC
rnacentral:rRNA from 1 species